CCCCGAACUGAGCGCAGCCUGAUCAGCCAUGCCGCGUGUGUGAAGAAGGUCUUCGGAUUGUAAAGCACUUUAAGUUGGGAGGAAGGGCAGUUACCUAAUACGUGAUUGUUUUGACGUUACCGACAGAAUAAGCACCGGCUAACUCUGUGCCAGCAGCCGCGGUAAUA
rnacentral:rRNA from 1 species